rnacentral:lncRNA from 1 species
GUCCUUUGCAGGGACAUGGAUAAAGCUGGAAACUCUCAUUCUCAGCAGACUAAUACAGGAACAGAAAACGAAACACCACAUGUUCUCACUCAUAAGUGGGAGUUGAACAGUGAGAACACAUGGAUGCAGGGAGGGGAACAUCACACACAGGGGCCUGUCAAGGGGUUGGGGGCUGGGGGCGGGAUAACAUUAGGAGAAAUACCUGGUGUAGAUGACAGGUUGAUGGGUGCGGCAAACCACCAUGGCACAUGUAUACCUAUGUAACAAACCUGCACAUUCUGCACAUGUAUCCCAGGACAUGAAGUAUAAUAAAAGGCAUUGCUAAGUGAGGGACUUUGUCCCCCUAGUUUUAAUUUAUUAAGAAUAUUAUGCACAGGGCACUCUAGGACUCUAGACGUAUUAACAUCAAAUGUCAGGGAUCUCUCAAAAUAUUUCUCGAUGAAUGAGUAUUGAGUUCGGACUUUGGUCUGAGAUUAAUGAAAGUUGAAUCGGGGGGUAUUUUGAACAAUGUAAAAUAUACUCAAUUUAUGUGUGAAUCAAUCUAGCCUGGAAAUGUAAUAUUAAACGUUGAUUAUGUUGCUUUGUAUCUGCUGUGUCUCUUUCCAGGUUCAGGCAUUAGCAAUUAUGUUUCAGAGGCCUCAGUUUUCAUUCUGUCUUGGGAAUCAAGGGAUGUUAGAAGGUCCCUUCCAGAGGGCAAUUAUUUUUUGGCAUUUCCAUGAGAGAUGAGCUCUAUUGGUGACUGGUUCAUAAACUCCAGGUCCAGAAGCAGAGGGGCUCAUGACCAAGCUUUGCUGUGUGCAGCAGCCUUCUCAGAUGCUUGCUCUGGGCAACCACUCUUCAGAUGCAGCCCCGCAGGGCUCUGAAAGCAGAGCGUGUCCUUCAGCACCCCCUUUCCUGAAGUUGUAGCCAGCUCUGCCGGGCUGCCUCCACCACUUUCAUGGCAUCAGCUAACCAUAGUGCUUCCAUUUUCAUCAGGAGGCUUAUGCAUAAGCUUAUAUUUAAAAUGUGGUCAGAAAAAUGUCUACAAGUAGAUAUUUGAGCUAUACUUCAUGUUGCACGGUUCAACAUGAACCACUAAUUGACCCACUUCUAAAAAAAUCACCUGCAAUAUAAUACCGUCAAUAAAUGGAUGUUAAUUUUUUUGUAUUUAUAUUUUAAACCUAUUCAUACGUCUCAGUGUAUGUGUGUUGUAAAUCAAAGAUGACCGAGGCAAGUCUCAAUUAUUUUAAGAGGUUUAUUUGCCAAGGUUAAGGACAUGCCUAGGACAAAAGAACACAAAAUCAUAGGAAAAAUCUGUGGUCUGUGCUUUUUUCCAAAGAGAAUCUGAGGACCUCAAUAUUUAAAGGGAAAAAAGCAGGUAUUGGGGGAAAGAGGAAGAAGAAAAAUCUUUUUAAAGGGUGGUAGAUAAAAGUGGCAAGAGGUUGCAUCCUUUUUAGUCUCGGAUCAGCAUUCUCUGAAUCUACAUUUUACAUGUGAGAGGGGGUAGAGGAAUAGUCACUUAUGCAUUCAACUUGUCCUCAGUGAAUCUGCAUUAUUACAUAACCUUAAAUAAACAGAGGGUAGAGGAGGCAGUAAGAUAGGCAUUUGUCUCAGGUGAGUGGAGAGAUGACUUUUCAGUUCUGUCCUUUGUCCCAUACCUGAGAAGAUCAGCGAUGAAUUUACACGGUCAGAGUGAAAUUCAACAGAACUGCUUUAGGGUAAAGAUUGUGGGGCCAACCAGGAAUUCCCUUGUGGGAAAAUUGUGAGGGAGGUAUAUACCCUUUCAUCUCUGUAGCUGUCUUAUUUAGGAACAAAACUGGGGGGCAGGUUUGCAUGACCCAGUUCCCAGCUUAACUUUCCCCUUUGCCUUAGAGAGUUUGGGGUCCCAAGAUUUAUUUUCCUUUCAUAGUAUAUACACACACAAUCAUUUGUAUGCACACAUAUACACUUAUGGAUGUGUAUUUGUAAGUAUCAGUAUUUAUUUAUAGUGACUAUAUAUAAUCUUUCCAAAUAAUCAGUCUGGAGGUCAGCUGAACUUUCUUAGACUCUUUUUAUCAUGCAGUUGUGUGUUUUUUCAAUGGAGGUGAGAGAUGUUAAAAUGAUACUGUGUUGAUAAUGUUAUAAUUGAAGCUCUGGGAUUCUCUCCCUGGCAAAAUAAAAAGUGGGUGAUUCAGUAUUGUCUUCAGGUUAUUUUUCUUUAAUUUUGAUGGUCCAUGAUAUUUAAAAACAACCACAAACA